rnacentral:rRNA from 1 species
AGUACUGUGAACUGCGAAUGGCUCAUUAAAUCAGUUAUCGUUUAUUUGAUUGUACCAUUACUACUUGGAUAACCGUAGUAAUUCUAGAGCUAAUACAUGCGAAAAGUCCCGACUUCUGGAAGGGAUGUAUUUAUUAGAUUAAAAACCAAUGCGGGUUCUGCCCGGUUCUUUGGUGAUUCAUAGUAACUGAUCGAAUCGCACGGCCUUGCGCUGGCGAUGUUUCAUUCAAAUUUCUGCCCUAUCAACUGUCGAUGGUAAGGUAGUGGCUUACCAUGGUUGCAACGGGUGACGGAGAAUUAGGGUUCGAUUCCGGAGAGGGAGCCUGAGAAACGGCUACCACAUCCAAGGAAGGCAGCAGGCGCGCAAAUUACCCAAUCCUGACUCAGGGAGGUAGUGACAAGAAAUAACAAUACAGGGCUUUUCC